rnacentral:rRNA from 1 species
GAUGAACGCUAGCUACAGGCUUAACACAUGCAAGUCGAGGGGCAGCAUGGUCUUAGCUUGCUAAGGCCGAUGGCGACCGGCGCACGGGUGAGUAACACGUAUCCAACCUGCCGUCUACUCUUGGACAGCCUUCUGAAAGGAAGAUUAAUACAAGAUGGCAUCAUGAGUUCACAUGUUCACAUGAUUAAAGGUAUUCCGGUAGACGAUGGGGAUGCGUUCCAUUAGAUAGUAGGCGGGGUAACGGCCCACCUAGUCUUCGAUGGAUAGGGGUUCUGAGAGGAAGGUCCCCCACAUUGGAACUGAGACAUGGUCCAAACUCCUACGGGAGGCAGCAGUGAGGAAUAUUGGUCAAUGGGCGAGAGCCUGAACCAGCCAAGUAGCGUGAAGGAUGACUGCCCUAUGGGUUGUAAACUUCUUUUAUAAAGGAAUAAAGUCGGGUAUGUAUACCCGUUUGCAUGUACUUUAUGAAUAAGGAUCGGCUAACUCCGUG